rnacentral:tRNA from 1 species
AUACUUAGUUCAGUGGUAGAACAAUCGUCUCAUAAACGAUAAGUCAUCGGUUCGAUUCCGAUAGUAUCC